UGAUACGUAGGGUGCGAGCGUUGUCCGGGAUUUAUUGGGCGUAAAGAGCUCGUAGGUGGUUGAUUGCGUCGGAAGUGAAAACUUGGGGCUUAACCUGAGCGUGCUUUCGAUACGGGUUGACUUGAGGAAGGUAGGGGAGAAUGGAAUUCCUGGUGGAGCGGUGGAAUGCGCAGAUAUCAGGAGGAACACCAGUGGCGAAGGCGGUUCUCUGGACCUUUCCUGACGCUGAGGAGCGAAAGCGUGGGGAGCGAACAGGCUUAGAUACCCUGGUAGUCCACGCUGUAAACGGUGGGUACUAGGUGUGGGGUCCAUUCCACGGAUUCCGUGCCGUAGCUAACGCAUUAAGUACCCCGCCUGGGGAGUACGGCCGCAAGGCUAAAACUCAAAGGAAUUGACGGGGCCCCGCACAAGCGGCGGAGCAUGCGGAUUAAUUCGAUGCAACGCGAAGAACCUUACCUGGGUUUGACAUGGACUGGGAGUGCUCAGAGAUGGGUAUGCCUCCUUGUGGGGCUGGUUCACAGGUGGUGCAUGGCUGUCGUCAGCUCGUGUCGUGAGAUGUUGGGUUAAGUCCCGCAACGAGCGCAACCCUCGUUCACUGUUGCCAGCACGUUAUGGUGGGGACUCAGUGGAGACCGCCGGGGUCAACUCGGAGGAAGGUGGGGAUGACGUCAAGUCAUCAUGCCCCUUAUGUCCAGGGCUUCACGCAUGCUACAAUGGCCGGUACAAAGAGUUGCGAGCCUGUGAGGGUGAGCGAAUCUCGGAAAGCCGGUCUCAGUUCGGAUUGGGGUCUGCAACUCGACCCCAUGAAGUCGGAGUCGCUAGUAAUCGCAGAUCAGCAACGCUGCGGUGAAUACGUUCCCGGGGCUUGUACACACCGCCCGUCAAGUCAUGAAAGUCGGUAACACCCGAAGCCGGUGGCCUAACCUGUG
rnacentral:rRNA from 1 species